rnacentral:lncRNA from 1 species
UGGGGUGGGGAGGGGGAGGAGGAAGGGAGCGGUAUUGUAUGUAAAAAACUGUAAUGAUCCACUUACAAGCUAAAACUACAUGUGUCCCAACAACUUAUGAAAGUGAUUGUAGAUGCUAUAAUAAAGAACUUACUUUAUUUUAAUACCAGCAUGUGGAUGAGUCCAUGGGUACGUAUCAGGCAGAAGUUCUGAAGCUUCUGACAAAUUCGAAGAAGGUUUUGAUCAUGAGAUCUGACAUCAUGACACUGAAUGACAAUGAUCUUAUAGAUCAUGCCUUGCCUGAUAUUUUAGAUGAAGGUAAUGCAUGGUAGUAUAAUAAAUGUAAAUAGUAAAUUGAAAUGAAAAAUUUUCUUAAAAGCUUUGUUACUGACAGUCAAUGAGCUAUCAUUCAAAGGGCUAGACAAAAACACUGUCUCCAGAUUUUGGGCUUUUAGAAAUUAUCGG